CUGACAUUGCCGACAUACGAAGACAAAUCAGUAUUCUUCUCGCCCCCCACCCGCUAUGCUACCAUGGGGGAGAUGGAAUACUGGAAUAUUCAUAGGGAUCUAUUUUGUGCAAAACCAAUGCCAUCAUUUGGGGAAGCAACAAUCUUCUGUUACCAACACAGAUAAACCAGCCUAGCUGAAGCCUCAGAGCAGCCUGCAGCAGAAACAAGAAAACAAUCUGGACCAGGAAUAUCAAACCACCACCACCUCCUUUUCCCCUCAGACUCCGAUGCAGACAACCCAGGACUCUGAAUGCAGGAGUCUUGGAAAUAGGAAUACUUCCAGGUAACUGCCCUCACCCUAAGCCAACAUCCUGAGAAGCAACUUCUGUGUACAUACAGCUUGGCAACUGCUCCAGCAGGUGCUACUUGCAGAUGACAAAGAAACAUACAAGCGAUAAAAGAAAUUGGACGCCAAGAGUACCAACUAUAUAACACCACAAAUGAAAAUGACUAAAAAGACAACUCACCUUAAAGUAAUGAACCAAGAUAAAAGAUGGAGCAAAAAAUCUACCUUUCCUUCCUGGACAACAGAACUGUGAUGGGUUUGUUGAGUUGUUGGACUCUUGAACGUCAUUAAAAAGUACCCAAACUGGCUUUUUCAGCCUCUCACUGGUCAUAUGUUUUCUAUUUUCUAACAUAAAAAUGUCAAUUAUCCUUUGGCUUAUAUUCCCUCUAUAAAAGCUCAUCAGUUUACAAAGAAGUCAUGAAAACUGCGACAGCUUCUGAUGGCAUCCAAACAGGGAAACAUCAUGUUUACCCACAAAGCAUUAAGAUGUCCUUAAAUUAAGCAAAGUUUCAAGUUUUGAGUAGAGAACAUUAGUUAAAAACAUUUCAUUUUGAGAGAUUUCAGAACACUAGAAUAAGCCAUUUAGUAAGAAGGAAAAGUUGUAGAUCCACACUUUUGGUUAGCACUGAAUCAAGCAUUUCCUUUUUGUAAAAGCAAAUUGCUCAUAAUUGCUAUACUCAAUUCUUACAACAUUCCACUUUAACAAUCAUUCCCUGGAAUGAUCUUUUGUUCAAUGCUUGAAAUAUCAGUUUAACCAACAAGAGGAAAAACUUACAAGUCAACUGCUAGAAGCUCAACUACAAAUCCCUCCUCUUUCAAAAAGAAACAAUUCACAUAUGCAUAAUACUUAUGAUGGUUCGUGAUUUUUGUGCAUAGAAUUCUCUUCCUAUAAGGCAGCUGUUAUACUUCAUAACUCAAGAAGGCUUAGUGUAAUUGUCAAGUUUUGUAUUGUCUGAUCACAGUAGAGUACAACUAGUGGUAGCAGAUGCUUUAAGUUUCAUUCUCAUAAAAUUCACAAGGCUCAUUUAGGACAAUCAGGAACAAGUGACCGAUAGUAAGUAGUGGUUCCUACCACGUUCCAUGAAUAAAACUGACCACCUCCAGUUCUGCCCA
rnacentral:lncRNA from 1 species